rnacentral:rRNA from 1 species
AUUGAACGCUGGCGACAGGCCUAACACAUGCAAGUCGAGCGGAUGACGGGAGCUUGCUCCUUGAUUCAGCGGCGGACGGGUGAGUAAUGCCUAGGAAUCUGCCUGGUAGUGGGGCACAACGUCUCGAAAGGAACGCUAAUACCGCAUACGUCCUACGGGAGAAAGCAGGGGACCUUCGGGCCUUGCGCUAUCAGAUGAGCCUAGUUCGGAUUAGCUAGUUGGUGGGGUAAUGGCUCACCAAGGCGACGUUCCGUAACUGGUCUGAGAGGAUGAUCAGUCACACUGGAACUGAGACACGGUCCAGACUCCUACGGGAGGCAGCAGUGGGGAAUAUUGGACAAGGGGCGCAAGCCUGAUCCAGCCAUGCCGCGUGUGUGAAGAAGGCCUUCGGGUUGUAAAGCACUUUCAGCGAGGAGGAAGGGAGUUGUGUUAAUAGCACAGCUUCUUGACGUUACGCGCAGAAGAAGCACCGGCUAACUCUGUGCCAGCCGCCGCCGUAACAC